GAUGAACGCUGGCGGCGUGCUUAACACAUGCAAGUCGAACGAGAGAAGAUUGGUGCUUGCACUGAUCCGAUCGAGUGGCGGACGGGUGAGUAACGCGUGGGUAACCUGCCUCAUACAGGGGAAUAACAGUUGGAAACGGCUGCUAAAACCUCAUAAGCGCACAGUCUCGCAUGAAACAGUGUGAAAAACUCCGGUGGUAUGAGAUGGACCCGCGUCUGAUUAGAUAGUUGGUGAGGUAACGGCCCACCAAGGCAACGAUCAGUAGCCGGCGUGAGAGGGUGAACGGCCUCAUUGGGACUGAGACACGGCCCAAACUCCUACGGGAGGCAGCAGUGGGGAAUAUUGCACAAUGGGGGAAACCCUGAUGCAGCGACGCCGCGUGAGUGAUGAAGUAUUUCGGUAUGUAAAGCUCUAUCAGCAGGGAAGAUAAUGACGGUACCUGACUAAGAAGCACCGGCUAAAUACGUGCCAGCCGCCGCCGUAA
rnacentral:rRNA from 1 species